GUUUAAGCAUAUAAAUAAGCGGAGGAGAAGAAACUAACAAGGAUUCCCCUAGUAACGGCGAGCGAACCGGAAACAACCCAGCUUGAGAAUCGGGUGGUUGUGCCGUCCGAAUUGUAGUCUGGAGAGGCAUCCUCAGCGACGGACCGAGCCCAGUGGCGCCUAGCAGGGUGAGAACCCCGUCUGGCCCAGACCCUGUCGCCCCACGAGGCGCGGUCAAUGAGUCGGGUUGUUUGGGAAUGUAUCCCAAAUCGGGCGGUAUACUCGGGCCAAGCCUAAAUACAGGCGAGAGACCGAUAGCGACGAACAACAAGAGU
rnacentral:ncRNA from 1 species